GAGGUGGUACUAAAUUUUGUCUCUCCAAUUGACUCGAUUGACCGCUACGUUCUUGGUCGCUUAACUGGGCCGCGAUCCAGUUGGGCCUUGCCCCGUCUCUCACCGUCGAAUAAACGGUUCUCGCUAAUUUAACCCGCAGUUAUUUUUCUUCGUCAACCCUCUGUGCACGUUUGGCUUUAGAUCGAGCGGCGGCGCUCCCGAAGCCCCGAUCCAAUCGGGACAUGUAGGACGACGGCGGCAGGGCUCUCGAAAGUGGGGAACGACAGGGAGGCGGGAACGGCGGGAAGCGGCGGACGUCGCGGCGAGGCGGAUCAGGUCAGGAUCCAGCGCGGCGGCCGGCGCUCCAUGGCCGUGGCGUCUCGGUCCGGCGGUGGCUCCGGUCGGCUGAUCCAGGUAUGUGUCCCGAUUCCUCUCCUCCCCGUAAAAAACAUAUCUCGCAUCGUCGCUAACUGCUAGAGAUGCCCUUCAUAAGUUCAUCCUGUGGCCAACAACAACCCCCAGAUCGCAUGAGAGUUCAGUGGCAUGGGCAUGCUCUCCCCUGAUUGAUUUUGUAUCAAAGUUUUUGUUGUGGCGUGUGGGCAGCACCCAUGAGUGUUGGAAGUACAUGUUCUAUAUACAUAACAACUUCUCUGGUGACUUACUCAUCUAAUGGUCAGAUACAAUUUUAGCAACAGUGAAUAGCCGCCUGAUAGUUUUGUUAUCUGCUUCUGAAUGUUCAUAAUGUGUAAAACGAAUCAAUUUUACUAUGAUUUUACUUGAGAAGUUGAAUCUGCAAAGUCUUGAGAACAUUGACUAUAUACUCCAACACUGCAGGCCAACUCUUGAUGGAUUUCCAAUGUGCUGCUGGCCUCCGAUUUUUUUGUCGUGUAGCCGCUCCCCAUCUCAGCGUGUGCUAUCCAUGGAAGCCGGCUCCUCCACUCAGGCCCUCCUCUGCAACGCUGACGAGGACGCUACUUCGUCUGAACCGAUCUUCACGACCACGUGCAGGUAUACACAUGUGCUCCCCUGCCACCCCUGCACUGAUUUAAGGCGAAAUCCAAUUGGGAGUUAUUGAUAGGCACCAAUGUAUUCUUGGUUCAGUUCCCCUGUCUUGAAUUACGUUGAUCCUUUUGGUAAGAUCAAACUGAACAUGCUGAACAUCACUUGCCCAAACAAGUUGAACGCCUUGCUACAUUAUUGCCCAAUUUUGUAAAAUUGAUCAUAGCACUCCUGCUAUCAUGUCAUGUUUGCUAAUACUUAUUGAGCCAUAAAACAGUGUUUUCUGUUUAUAAGCUAGCCCUUCUUAUUAUGUUUGAGAAGAUCGAUAGUACCCAUUACAUUACUACAGUACAAUGUAAUAUGAGAAACCGAGUUUUGGUUGCCAAGCAAAUGUUUGUGCUAAUUCCCACAAGAAAUUUGUGUUUGAAGAAUUAGUACUUUAUCAGGGAAAUAUCUUUUAUAUGGCUUCAUGAAAUCAGGAAAUUGAUUAAGCGGCAUAGGAAAUUGAUUUAGCACUACCUCACUAAACACGAAGACUUAUUCUUGAUUUCGUGUUGAUGUUCCACAUGGAAAUUUUUUCAUAUGACAUCAGGGAUGUAGGAUGAUUGGGUGAACAACCUUCCUGUGAAACAUCCAGAUCCCGGUGGCGGUGCCUUCGUUCAGCAUCCCACGCGGUGACGUCCUCCGGUAUAAUGGCAAACACCGGCAGGGGAGAGAGCAGAGCGGGAGGGGUAUUGGGUGAAGGAAAUAUGCCCUAGAGGCAAUAAUAAAGUUAUUAUUUAUUUCCUUAUAUAUAAUGAUAAAAGUUUAUUAUUCAUGCUAGAAUUGUAUUAACCGGAAACAUGAUACAUGUGUGAAUACAUAGACAAACAGAGUGUCACUAGUAUGCCUCUACUAGACUAG
rnacentral:lncRNA from 1 species